rnacentral:rRNA from 1 species
AAAGAUCGAAUGGKGAGAUUCAUCGACGACGAUGCUGGCUUCCGUAGGCACKCGAUGUCCCGAUUAUAGGCCCCGAUAGUGGCACCGAUGCGGGGAUACGUUGUCUGCGGCUUAAAUGUUCCGGCUGCGUAGUCGUGCACUUCUCCCCUUGUAGAACGUCKCGACCCGUUGCGUGUCGAUCUACGGCCCGAGUUUGUUGGCUGUCGCGUCGCCCCGGUGCGUACGCGGCAGACGCUCGGUCGCCUGGCCGGCUGCGUGACGGUACGCUGUGAGAGACGGUAUUGGGCCGCAACCAAUCCAUUUUCGAAUGUAUGUGCGUCAGGCCCGCCGCAAGCUCGGUUAGUUUACCCGGUGGUACGGACCUGGUGCCGGCUCCGGGCCUAACCAGCUGUUGGUUGGCGGUGUCCUUGGACUGGCCAAGCUUUUCAAAUUACCGGUCAGCGACGCUACUGCUUUGGGUCCUCUCAGGACCCGUCUUGAAACACGGACCAAGGAGUCUAACAUGUGCGCGAGUCACUGGGACUUGUAAACCUAAAGGCAUAAUGAAAGUAAAAGUUGACCUUGCGUCGACCGAGGGAGGAUGGGCCGCGUCACGAUGCGGCCUCGCACUCCCGGGGCGUCUCGUUCUCAUUGCGAGAAGAG